rnacentral:lncRNA from 1 species
GUGGCUGUACGCUCACUCACUCCUCCUAUGCCUCCUUAGACGGCGUUCUCUAUAACCAACUCUUCCUCGAAAAAGGAAACUAUCCCAAAGUCUUGAUUAUCUCUUGCUGUAUGAUCGGGGAAAGAAAAAUGAUUUUCAUUUACAAUGGGUUGUUUCCAUAUCAGACAUGAUUUUCUUUCAGUUGAAUAUAAUUUUGUUUAGUUUUACCUUAAUAAAAACUACAAGAAAUAACCAAACAUCCCACGAAUUGGUUUAAUAAUUUCAAACAAAGAAAUCA